GACGAACGCUGGCGGCGUGCUUAACACAUGCAAGUCGAACGGAAAGGCCCUGCUUGCAGGGUACUCGAGUGGCGAACGGGUGAGUAACACGUGGGUGAUCUGCCCUGCACUUCGGGAUAAGCCUGGGAAACUGGGUCUAAUACCGGAUAGGAGCCAUUUUUAGUGUGAUGGUUGGAAAGUUUUUUCGGUGUAGGAUGAGCUCGCGGCCUAUCAGCUUGUUGGUGGGGUAAUGGCCUACCAAGGCGGCGACGGGUAGCCGGCCUGGGAGGGUGGACGGCCACAUUGGGACUUGGAUACGGCCCAGACUCCUACGGGAGGCAGCAGGGGGGAAUAUUGCACAAUGGGCGCAAGCCUUAUGCAGCGACGCCGCGUGGGGGAUGACGGCCUUCGGGUUGGAAACUCCUUUCGCUAGGGACGAAGCUUUUUGUGACGGUACCUAGAUAAGAAGCACCGGCUAACUACGUG
rnacentral:rRNA from 1 species